AAACCACAGAGCAGAUAAUCCAGAAUGUUGGAUAAGUGAGUGUUGGAUAAGUGAGACUCUAUGAGGUAAAAUCACUGAAAUAAUGAAAUAAAAGUAUAUUGGUUGUGAAUGAAGGCUAUAAAGACUAUGUGAGGUAAGCACAAGCUAUGAGGUAAGUACUUUUCUAUAUUAGUAAGCACUAGGCUAUAAGGUGAGGUAAGUACACAAAGCUAUGAUGGUAAAUACUGUAGGCUAUAAUAACUAUGUGGUAAGCACGUGAUAUAGGUUGCCUGUUUGGUUUGCCGGGCCAAAAAAAAAAACACAGACAAUUCUCUGACCAAACUCUAAGAAGUUUUGAUCUGGAAUUAAAUUGGAGGGAAAAUGCCUGUAGAGAUUAGCAUUCAGGCUGCAGGGCUGAACCAUCUUACCCAAACCUAGAGGGGAGUUUUAAGCUCCACCCCUAAAAUAAGAGCGAAUGGAACAGUCCACCCAAGAGCAACAAACCAGGAAAUGAGCAGGGGAGAGAAAAACUAAGUAAGACAUCACACACUCUUUAAGGUGGUACUCUCAUUCUGUGAAUUUGUGCUCUCCCACUGAAGAUUGCUUCUAUUACACUCAAAGCUCAGGAAUAAAAUGAUGGAGAGAUUGCCAGUGGAAGCAGAGGAAGCACCAACCAGCAAUAAGGAAAGACGUAACAUAAGCCAAAAUUCAUGGUGUAGCAGGAGCAACUUGAGAAACUGCAAGUCACUUCUGGUGUGAGAGAAUUGACCAUCUGCAAAGACGUUGCCC
rnacentral:lncRNA from 1 species